UCAUUUUCUCAUUAAAAUGUCAAUUUCAUCUCGUCGGAGAAGGGUUUUGAGUCUAUUGAGCAAAGGACUGCAAGAGGUUUUACAGAUCGAAAUCACCGAAGAAGAUUUUUCUCACUAGGACCGACUAUGACAGAGGAGUCAACACUUUUUCUCCCGAAGGAAAGCUGUUCCAAGUUGAAUAUGUCAUUGAAGCUAUCAAGGAGGACUAGUGGCCCUAUUAGACGAGCUAAAGGUGGUUGAACUCUUGAGGUGGAUGAGACACUUAGACGAGCUGUUGACAAGUUUAAGGGGAAGAGGUGGAAGAAAAUAUGUAAAUUUUCUUUCCUUGAUCAAAGUCAUCAAAGUCAAAGUUUUCAUAGGUUUCAAUUUCAAGUCAUGAGUUUGUUAAUGGAUUUAUGUCUACCUUGAUUGAUUUUUUUCUUUGGUGGGUUUCUCUCAGAUCAAGUGUCAGCUAUUUUGGUUGAGUCUUGUAUUGCUGGUUAUGCCGGUGUAACUACAAGCUCCAUGGUUAUUGGGGCAGUAGGUGGCUUAAAGAACUCAAGGCUCAACUCGGCUCAACUCUGUGUCACCAAAGUCACCGAAGGUACUCAAAACAAGCUCUCUAAUAGCAUAUCACUUUGCUGUAUCAUUUUCUGUAUAUUUAGGCUAUUAAUACUUCUUCUUCAUGAGUUUGUGUUGCUUAGUUGCAGGUUGAAGCUGAUUACGUGAUGAGCUUUAGGAUAUGAUCUGUUUAUGUAUUUUCUAAUCUUUGACUUGUUAAAUCUCUUUGUUGGGAACUUGCAUGAGUGAGGACCACAAGAAGACAGGUCGUGACUCUUGAGUAAGAAUGGGUUAUAUUUAAGAAGCAAGUUGGAGUUCCUGAAGCUGGAGGACUUCAAGAAGGCGAAGGAGAAGGUUAUAUUUAAGAAGCAAGUUGGAGUUCUUGAAGCUUUUAACGUCUGUUCAUGAACUUUUUUCGAUG